UUGGAUCACAAGCUAUUUACGAAAAUGGCACUCUCAAGCACCAAUUCUCUCCUACCCACCAAAUCCUUCCAAAUUCAAUCUCUCCCACCACCACUAAAAUCUCUUCCGACCACCACCGCCGCCACCUCCUCCACCAGAGUCAUCCAGCCAAUCUUUGCCGUCCAUUCGCCGGACCCAUCAAAAACCCCAAUUGACAAGUCGUCGUCAUCAAAACCUUCAUCCCCUGCCACCGCCGCCACCUCCACCACCACCACUCCAAAAGUCACCUCCACGACAAAAACCCCAGUUCCUAACAAAUGGAGCAUAGACAGCUGGAGAACCAAAAAGGCACUUCAACUUCCCGAAUACCCAGAUCAAACAGAGCUCGAUUCGGUGCUCCAAACCCUCGAUUCAUUCCCACCUAUUGUGUUCGCCGGCGAAGCACGCCACCUGGAGGAACGGCUCGGAGAGG
rnacentral:lncRNA from 1 species